rnacentral:rRNA from 1 species
GAUGAACGCUGGCGGCGUGCCUAAUACAUGCAAGUCGAGCGAACAGAUGAGGAGCUUGCUCCUCUGACGUUAGCGGCGGACGGGUGAGUAACACGUGGAUAACCUACCUAUAAGACUGGGAUAACUUCGGGAAACCGGAGCUAAUACCGGAUAAUAUAUUGAACCGCAUGGUUCAAUAGUGGAAGACGGUUUUGCUGUCACUUAUAGAUGGAUCCGCGCCGCAUUAGCUAGUUGGUAAGGUAACGGCUUACCAAGGCAACGAUGCGUAGCCGACCUGAGAGGGUGAUCGGCCACACUGGAACUGAGACACGGUCCAGACUCCUACGGGAGGCAGCAGUAGGGAAUCUUCCGCAAAGGGCGAAAGCCUGACGGAGCAACGCCGCGUGAGUGAUGAAGGUCUUCGGAUCGUAAAACUCUGUUAUUAGGGAAGAACAAAUGUGUAAGUAACUAUGCACGUCUUGACGGUACCUAAUCAGAAAGCCACGGCUAACUACGUG